UUAGUAGUCUGUUGUAACACUUGCUUAAUAUCAAUAUUAUUGGUCGUGACAGCAAAAAAACUAGUUUUUCGAGUUUGUCAUUGUAAUUUGCACAGUUCAAUGAUAAUAAUUAAUUUUUUUAUGUACAAAACCCCUUCCCUAAUUAAUGUUUAAUAACAUUCGGCUUUUAGCCUUCAAAUUUGAUGGAUCCCUGGGGUUGUGAAAUUGGAGACUCAACAGUUGUAUCAGAAUUCGAAGACGAUUUCAAGCCUGAGAAGAGUGAUAAAUUAGCCGAUUCGGCUGAAUAUCUUGCUAUACUGGAAAGGAAGCUCCUAGCUCUCAAAAAGAAGAAUAAAGUGGUUGAAAAUCUGGCAGCAUACAGAGCCGACUGUAUUGAUAGAUUGAUGAGAGAAGGUUGUGAUUUAGAUCCUGUGAUUGGCGAUACUGAAUCAGAGAAACUGCUGCAGGAGUGACUUGGUGAUAAAACCUAAUAAGUAUACAUUGACAUAAUCGUCAACAUUCCAGAUGUUUCUAAAAAUGGCGGGUAGGAAGAGUUUAUUCAUAUUUUUGAUGAACUUGGCCUGGAAAUGUCGAUUCAGCAUGCCGCUGCUGCUCAGCGGUACUGUUGCACUGCUGGGACAAGCUUGGAUGUUCCAGAUUAGAGUGCAUACUGUACAUAGGCUACGUGAAAAUGAGCUGGCAUAUUACAAUGAAAACGUUAUUGACGACGACGACGACGAUGACGACGAUUCCUGGGAAACGGAGUCCACGGAUUCAUGGGAAACCAUCGUAGAGGAGGUUGAAUUUGUUUGACAUUUACCACAGAUAACAUAUAUUGUUUAUAUCGGUUGAAUUAAAUUAACAAAAGUUUCUAUAGCAAUAAAACAUUGGAACAACUGAGAUAUUUAAAUUAGAUUGUAAUAAAAUGGAGACAAUUUGUGGCCAA